UGGGACAGUCGGCCUAGGAAAAAAAACACAAAAAGGACAGCAAGUUAGACGUUUCAGUAAAACCAAAAAAGUACAGCGAGCAGUGUGUGCCUAAAGCAGAGCUUUUGGAUUUUUACAGAUCAUCAAGAUCUCCUGUCAAAAGAAUGCAGACAUCUCUUUGGCUGGUAUCUCCAACACUGUGCAACUCACACCAAAACAAUCUACAUUGAUAAACAGCACUACAGGUUGGGCCUGCAGCUCCACCAGCAGUCGCUCCCUCACCUUACUCCUCAGUACGAUGGCGUCCCUCUGGCUAACAUCCAGCGCUAACACAGCAUCCCGGGCUCCAACGUACAGCAUGUCUCCAUCCUCG